AUAUAGUUUGGCUUUUUAAAAAAACCAACCAUGCCCUAAUCACAUCAACUUUAAGGGGUUAUUACAAUUUUUCACUCCAAACAAUACAAUUAUUUUUUAUUGACAGCAAGCCAAGUUAUGCAAUUUCAUUCGUAACAAGAUAGUGAAUAAAGAGAAUAGAAUUGAAACUGUUGACUAGAAUAAAAUGUAAACGUCUUUUCUAAUGAAUGAACAACUUGAUUUGUUUGUCUUCCAACAAAACUUGAUAGUUUGGAAAAGAAACAAGGUGGUGUUUAAAUGUUCUAUUUCCAGGCAAAAUCAUCUAGGACUUGCUUGAUGACAAGCUCCAAGGAAACUUUUGUAAUCCCCAGCUCAAUCAAAUCAAGAAAUUGGUGUAAAUUAAUCCACUGACACAACUCAAUCAACAUCUUCCAGUGAUAAGUGUGGUGGAAUCUCCAAAGCAUUAACCAAUUACAUCAAAUUUGAGGCAUCGACCAGACUACCUUUAUGGAUUUAUCUGUCUUAUAUGUGCAAAUCACUCAAGCACAACAAACUUUUUUUUGGUAUAAAACGGAGGCAACGAAACAUCAAAAUAUUAUCUCAAAGACCGGGGAAGAUGUCAUUGGAAGAAAGACAAAAAAAACUAUGGAAGCAAAGGAAUAAAGAAA
rnacentral:lncRNA from 1 species